GAUGAACGCUGGCGGCGUGCCUAAUACAUGCAAGUCGAGCGAACAGACGAGGAGCUUGCUCCUCUGACGUUAGCGGCGGACGGGUGAGUAACACGUGGAUAACCUACCUAUAAGACUGGGAUAACUUCGGGAAACCGGAGCUAAUACCGGAUAAUAUAUUGAACCGCAUGGUUCAAUAGUGAAAGACGGUUUUGCUGUCACUUAUAGAUGGAUCCACGCCGCAUUAGCUAGUUGGUAAGGUAACGGCUUACCAAGGCAACGAUGCGUAGCCGACCUGAGAGGGUGAUCGGCCACACUGGAACUGAGACACGGUCCAGACUCCUACGGGAGGCAGAAGUAGGGAAUCUUCCGCAAUGGGCGAAAGCCGGACGGAGCAACGCCGCGUGAGUGAUGAAGGUCUUCGGAUCGUAAAACUCUGUUAUUAGGGAAGAACAAAUGUGUAAGUAACUAUGCACGUCUUGACGGUACCUAAUCAGAAAGCCACGGCUAACUACGUG
rnacentral:rRNA from 1 species